ensembl:snoRNA
UGUCCUCUGCCUUACUCCAGGGGCUUUUUUGCCUGUAGAGUGCCCUGGCAUUGCCUGAGGACAGAGGAAAAAGCACAUGUCCCUCCCCAGUAAGAACCUGCUUUCUUUUGGGGUCUACACAUUGAGCUGACAGG